AGUGGCCAUUGAGCUUUGUGGAUAUGUUGAAUGCACCUGAUUCGCCCACGGAUCAAGAGAGGGUGGAGGAAAUAUCCAUACCUAUUUCGUCAAUGUUGAACCCUCCUCCUUGCACUGGAGAAGCAUCUCAGGAUCUGGUAAUAGCGACAGUUUCUACAUCGAUGGCGAGCCAUCCUCAGUCCAUUGGAGAAGCAUCUCAAGCACAG